rnacentral:rRNA from 1 species
CCUUGACAUACUAAGAACUUUCCAGAGAUGGAUUGGUGCCUUCGGGAACUUAGAUACAGGUGCUGCAUGGCUGUCGUCAGCUCGUGUCGUGAGAUGUUGGGUUAUGUCCCGNAACGAGCGCAACCCUUUUCCUUAUUUGCCAGCGGGUCAUGCCGGGAACUUUAAGGAUACUGCCAGUGACAAACUGGAGGAAGGCGGGGACGACGUCAAGUCAUCAUGGCCCUUACGGCCAGGGCUACACACGUGCUACAAUGGUCGGUACAAAGGGUUGCUACCUCGCGAGAGGAUGCUAAUCUCAAAAAGCCGAUCGUAGUCCGGAUCGCAGUCUGCAACUCGACUGCGUGAAGUCGGAAUCGCUAGUAAUCGCGGAUCAGAAUGCCGCGGUGAAUACGUUCCCGGGCCUUGUACACACCGCCCGUCACACCAUGGGAGUUUGUUGCACCAGAAGUAGGUAGUCUAACCGCAAGGAGGACGCUUACCACGGUGUGGCCGAUGACUGGGGUGAAGUCGUAACAAGGUAGGCGUAGAUGA